UACGUAGGGUGCGAGCGUUGUCCGGAAUUACUGGGCGUAAAGAGCUCGUAGGUGGUUUGUCGCGUUGUCCGUGAAAACUCACAGCUUAACUGUGGGCGUGCGGGCGAUACGGGCAGACUGGAGUACUGCAGGGGAGACUGGAAUUCCUGGUGUAGCGGUGGAAUGCGCAGAUAUCAGGAGGAACACCGGUGGCGAAGGCGGUUCUCUGGGCAUGACCUGACGCUGAGGAGCGAAAGUGUGGGGAGCGAACAGG
rnacentral:rRNA from 1 species